rnacentral:rRNA from 1 species
UACGAGGGGGGGCGAGCGUUGUUCGGAAUUAUUGGGCGUAAAGGGUGCGUAGGCGGUUUGGUAAGUCUCUUGUGAAAUCUCUGGGCUCAACUCAGAGUCUGCAAGGGAAACUGCCGGGCUUGAGUAUGGGAGAGGUGAGUGGAAUUCCUGGUGUAGCGGUGAAAUGCGUAGAUAUCAGGAGGAAUACCUGUGGCGAAAGCGGCUCACUGGACCAUAACUGACGCUGAUGCACGAAAGCUAGGGGAGCAAACAGG